CCUAUUAUACAUAGGAGUGACGGGCGAUUUGUGCAUGCCCCCUCUCUCAUUCAUUUUAAACUUUUUUUUUAUUUUUAAUGCUAAGUCCUCCUUACCAAAUCUUAUCUUUCUUUUACGUAUAUUUUAAGUAUGCCACUCUUUCACAGGUAUUUUCUUUGUCUUGAUUUGUUUUCCUAUUUCAAUUUUUAAAUUUUCAUCUUUUUAGAAUUUUCACAAUGAUAUAAAAAAUUAAGUCCUGAGUAGAUUUAAUCGUGGAUCAUCGAUUACAUUGCAGAAUCCCCUAUUUAGUUUAGGCACCGCCAUCAUUAUUUAGGUUUAGUUUAUUUAAUUACUUUCUAAAAUUUUUUUAGAA
rnacentral:rRNA from 1 species